rnacentral:rRNA from 1 species
CCUACGGGCGGCAGCAGUGAGGAAUAUUGGUCAAUGGGCGCGAGCCUGAACCAGCCAAGUAGCGUGAAGGAUGACUGCCCUACGGGUUGUAAACUUCUUUUAUAAAGGAAUAAAGUGAGGCACGUGUGUCUUUUUUUCUGUACUUUAUGAAUAAGGAUCGGCUAACUCCGUGCCAGCAGCCGCGGUAAUACGGUGGAUCCGAGCGUUAUCCGGAUUUAUUGGGUUUAAAGGGAGCGUAGAUGGGUUGUUAAGUCAGUUGUGAAAGUUUGCGGCUCAACCGGAGAAUUGCAAUUGAUACUGGCAGCCUUGAGUACAGUUGAGGUAGGCGGAAUUCGUGGUGUAGCGGUGAAAUGCUUAGAUAUCACGAAGAACUCCGAUUGCGAAGACAGCUUACUAAACUGCCACUGACAUUGAUGCUCGAAAGUGUGGGUAUCAAACAGGAUUAGAUACCCCAGUAGUC